rnacentral:lncRNA from 1 species
GAGUAAUAUCAGAGCUUAAAUUAUGAUCAUUGGAGAUUACAAUAUAAAUGAUUUGGAUGUGAUAGAAUAAUAUCAAAGCUUAGGUUUAAGAUCAUUAGAGAUUAUGAAGAGAUAUUAAAACUUUAUGUAAGAUCAGUAGGAUGUGACAGAGUGGCAUCUGAGCUUAGAGCUUAGGUUACGUUCAUUUGGAGACAAUGAUAUAAGUGAUUAGGAUAUGACAGAAUAGUACUAGAGCCAAGUUUAAGGUCAUUAGGGAUUGUCAUAUAAGUGAUAUCAAAACUUUGAGAUUAUAAUCACUAAAGUAUGAUUGAUAAUAUCAGAGUUUAAGAUUUUGAUUAUUAAAGGUAUGAUAAAAUGAUAUUAGAGUUUAGGUUAUGAUCACUAGAAAAUAUGAUUUAAGUGGUAUUUGAGUUUAAGAUUAUAAUUAUUCAGAAUUGUAAUUCUAGUGAUAUCUGAACUUAGG